CAGACAUCAAUUUUUUCAAUAAUCCAAAAAAGAAUUCUUCUGGAGACACAGCAAAGAAGGAUUAUACAAACUCAGAUUUCAACCACCUGUCUAAGCAAAGAAUUAAGUUUACAUCCACUGCAACUUACAUUUUAAGAUAUUAUGUUUGAAUGUUUUGACAGAAGUUGGUGGCAAAACUCCCAUAGAAAUCACAUUGGAAUCAGGAUUUUACAGUGGAUUUGGACUCUAAAAAUUUUUCCCUCUGUCAAUUCACAUAGAUUCCAUUUAUUGGCCCUGGAGACUGACAAGGAACCAACACCUGUGCCCAAAUGUUUUCUGAACCUUGGCAGCAACAGGCAUGUUCAUUAUGCAGCAGUUGUAGUUCCAAGUGUGCUCAAGGCACGGGAGAGCAGCAGCCUUCUCCCUUGCAAGGAAAAACAGGUUAAGUAGCAAAACAGCCGGUGCAGUGGAAUCCCUAACACGUCCCAUCUUCAAGAAAACUGGUGCUUCUGUGACUGUGCGUCACAAGUGCAAGCUGCAAUUUAUGAUAAGUUUGUUCUGACAGCUAAAUGCUGGGCACUGGAGAUCUCAUUAGAAUUGGGAAACCUCAAGGUGCUUCAUUUCUCUGUGUCAGUUAACGCAAUUAAUAAAUUGAUGCUUACAGCACCUCUUAACAUGGAUCUCAGCUACAGAGAGCAUUUGCACUUUAGGAUGUAAACACAUAUAUAUGGGUUUUUUGGUCCUUCAGUUUAAUGUAGAAAGGCAAAAAAGUAAAGUUAUGUGUUUGGUGAUAAAUGAGGUUUAUUA
ensembl:lncRNA